rnacentral:rRNA from 1 species
AUUGAACGCUGGCGGCAGGCCUAACACAUGCAAGUCGAGCGGCGCGACGGACGGGUGAGUGAGACCUAGGUAUCGGACUGUUAGUGGGGGAUGAGGUCCAGAAACGGGCACUAUAACAGCAUACUAUCGGCUGCGCCUAGGUCGGAUUAGCUAGUUGGUGGGGUAAAGGCCCACCAAGACGACGAUCCGUAACUGGUCUGAGAGGAUGAUCAGGCACACUGGAACUGAGAAACGGUCCAUACGCCUACGGGAGGCAGAAGUGGGGAAUAGUGGACAAUGGGCGAAAGCCGGAUGCAGCCAUGCCGCGUGUAUGAAGAAGGUCUUCGGAUUGUAAAGCACUUUAAGUUGGGAGGCGUUACCAACAGAAUAAGCACCGGCUAACUCCGUGCCAGCAGCCGCGGUAAUAC